rnacentral:sRNA from 1 species
UCCUUUGGUGCCUUGUGACCAGGGCCCUGAUGGUUCAUUAGAUGGAGCCUUCGAGUCUUAGGGAGUUGCCGCAGGGUCCCCACAGCGGCUCCCGACGGUUGUGAACCAGCAUCCAUCUUCCACGGCUUCCGGCAACCCACCUGGCCCUGGACGUGUCUCAACUGGCCCGCGCGAGGGGCCGCCCCGGAAAUGACGCGCUGCCCCGCUGGCCAAGCGGAAGUGGAGAUGGCGGAGCUGUACGUGAAGCCGGCCCCAGUAUAAGCUAACAGUGGAGUUCCGGGCUCGCUUCACACAUCCCUCGCCUCCGCAGGCAACAAGGAGCGCGGCUGGAACGACCCGCCGCAGUUCUCAUACGGGCUGCAGACCCAGGCCGGCGGACCCAGGCGCUCGCUGCUUACCAAGAGGGUCGCCGCACCCCAGGAUGGAUCCCCCAGAGUCCCCGCAUCAGAGACUUCUCCUGGGCCUCCCCCAAUGGGGCCUCCACCUCCUUCAAGUAAGGCUCCCAGGUCCCCACCUGUGGGGAGUGGUCCUGCCUCUGGCGUGGAGCCCACAAGUUUCCCAGUCGAGUCUGAGGCUGUGAUGGAGGAUGUGCUGAGACCUUUGGAACAGGCAUUGGAAGACUGCCGUGGCCACACAAGGAAGCAGGUAUGUGAUGACAUCAGCCGACGCCUGGCACUGCUGCAGGAACAGUGGGCUGGAGGAAAGUUGUCAAUACCUGUAAAGAAGAGAAUGGCUCUACUGGUGCAAGAGCUUUCAAGCCACCGGUGGGACGCAGCAGAUGACAUCCAUCGCUCCCUCAUGGUUGACCAUGUGACUGAGGUCAGUCAGUGGAUGGUAGGAGUUAAAAGAUUAAUUGCAGAAAAGAGGAGUCUGUUUUCAGAGGAGGCAGCCAAUGAAGAGAAAUCUGCAGCCACAGCUGAGAAGAACCAUACCAUACCAGGCUUCCAGCAGGCUCCAUAAUCCUCGGUUCCCCAGACU